AAUGCUACAUUUUUUAGCUUGCUUGCUUGCAUUAGUUGUCAUGGUCUGUGUUUUUAAGAUUAUAUUUAGUUUUGUUUCAUGUUUUGUCUUGUUUUCCUGUGUCCCACAUUCAUGGCUUGCCUUGCUCAUUAGGUUUGCAUUUCCACAUGUUCUCGUUAGCCCUGUUUCUUGUGCUAACCAAUCAGCUCCCUCCAGCUUCAUCUUCUCCAGGUGUGCCUCGUUGUCUCAUCAGUUAGCUUGUAUUUCAUUCCCUGGUUUCUUGCAGUCUGUGUCUGUUUAUUGAUGUUGCUGUUAGGUGUGUUAAUCUAGCCAAGUUAUAUUUCCUUUGUAUGACUCCAGCACUCCUGCUACUCUGACAUUAGUUUUGAUUUAGCUGUUACUAUUAUACUAUAAACUCCACCAAUAUUAAAGCCAAACAAAGCCUAAAAGGCAAUAAAUAUCACUUAACUAUGACAAUAUUUUUUGUUACAAUUAGUUUUUGUAGCGUAAAAAAUUAAACCUGCUAAACCAUGUUUUUCCACUUCAUUUCUAUCUUGCUUUAGCAGUUACAAGGUAUCACCUCCACCAAAAUUAAAGCCAAAAAAAUGCCGAAGCCUUUUUUUUUUUUUUUAAUUGAUUUUUGUUUUGUUUGUUUGGUUUUUUUUGACAUUCUUUCAUGUUCAAAAGUCGAGUUUUCACCUACAAGCAGUACAGUUCCAUGCGGGCACACACAGCCAGAUAGGGGCUCUCUGCAACUCAGGAGGCCGGAACCUUGCUGCUGACUUGGCGGGUCCAAACUGGAGCAUGUGAGGAGGCAGGAACGAGGAGCAUAGAUAAGAGAACCAGGGCACUUGUUGACCUCUUCACAGGGACCCUGUGUGCAGUUAAAGCGCCCCUCCUCACACACACUGCAGAUGAAAAGGGACACAUAGUAGUGGGCACACAUUGGCCUUGGUAGUCCUGUACAAGACCUGCAGGACAUUGGCAACCUGGAACACACAGCCCACCACCACCACCACUACCGUCAUCGUCGUCACCAUUACAGCUCCAGCCGUGCUGCAGGUCUGAACACUUGCGGCCGCACGCUCGACCACACUCCUGAUACACUUGACCCCCAGAACAUUGGACCGCUGGGGAGAUAGAUACAUCUGUUAAUCAUUGGCAUGACCGAGUUGAAAUAUAAAGCUGCAGUCUACUUCAAGGUCAAAACCUGUUUGGUCGCUUAUCAACCAGCGACAUAAAUGGCAAGCUUGAGCCAAGCUCCUUCCUGUGCCCUACCCCGCAGUGAAAGCCAAGCAAAACAAGAGCGGUGUGAAGGCCCCAAAAGGCUGAUUAAAAAAAUAUUAUCUGGUUCUCCAGCGGAUGGGCCUGACGGGAAAUAUCAAAAUGUUUAUGAAAUUUUCAACCCACUUAUGAUCCGAGUAGGCCCUCACUUAAUUUCAUCAUUUGACCUUAUGACUUAGCAAUAGAAGUUUUCAGAGGUAAUUAUAAUUUCUAUCAGUAGUCUACUUGUUGUUCUAUACUUACAGCAGAAAGUAUGGUUACGCCAGUGGACAGCGAUACCCUCCUGAGCACAAUGUCUGGCAUAGGCAGUGAGCACUGUGCAAUGACAGGCCUUCUGGGGUGCACAGCUGCACACCUCUGACUGACAGAGGCGAAAAUAGGGCUCCCUCUCCACUACAUCAUGACAUGCCUAAAGGAGCAGAAUGAGUGGCACUUUCUGUGAACUACAGAGAAGCAGGCAUACAGCGCAUUGGUCAUUACAGAAUGGGAGCACAUUUUCUGUCCCCCGCUCCCUCUAAG